CUUGCGUCCCGGCUUGAACGGAAAUCCUUUUUUGCCUCAAAAAAGAUUGGGAGUGGAAGACGGAUUAAGAC
rnacentral:misc_RNA from 1 species